rnacentral:rRNA from 1 species
AACGACUCUCGGCAACGGAUAUCUCGGCUCUCGCAUCGAUGAAGAACGCAGCGAAAUGCGAUACUUGGUGUGAAUUGCAGGAUCCCGCGAACCAUCGAGUUUUUGAACGCAAGUUGCGCCCGAAGCCUUCUGGCCGAGGGCACGUCUGCCUGGGUGUCACUC